AUUGAACGCUGGCGGCAUGCUUUACACAUGCAAGUCGAACGGUAACAGGCCGCAAGGUGCUGGCGAGUGGCGAACGGGUGAGUAAUGCAUCGGAACGUGCCCAGUCGUGGGGGAUAACGCAGCGAAAGCUGCGCUAAUACCGCAUACGAUCUAUGGAUGAAAGCGGGGGACCGAAAGGCCUCGCGCGAUUGGAGCGGCCGAUGUCAGAUUAGGUAGUUGGUGGGGUAAAGGCCCACCAAGCCAACGAUCUGGAGCUGGUUUGAGAGGACGACCAGCCACACUGGGACUGAGGAACGGCCCAGGCUCCUACGGGAGGCAGCAGUGGGGAAUUUUGGACAAUGGGAGCAAGCCUGAUCCAGCAAUGCCGCGUGCAGGAAGAAGGCCUUCGGGUUGUAAACUGCUUUUGUACGGAACGAAACGGUCCGGGUUAAUACCCUGGGCUAAUGACGGUACCGUAAGAAUAAGCACCGGCUAACUACGUGCCAGCCGCCGCAGUAAAAC
rnacentral:rRNA from 1 species